GUCUAAAUCCUAAUACUUUCACAAAGAUGCCUAAAUUGAGAUUUUUAAAGUUCUAUAGUUCAUCAGUCAAUGGAGAGAACAAAUGUAAGAUAUCUUAUUUGCAAGAUCCCAGAUUUGCUGAAGUGAAAUAUCUUCACUGGUAUGGAUAUCCGUUGAAGUCAUUGCCUUCAAACCUUAGUGCAGAGAAACUUGUGUUACUUGAAGUGCCUGAUAGUGACAUUGAACGACUUUGGGAUUGUGUGAAGGUAUGCAUAUCUUAUUAUACAUGUGCAAUCUUUCAAAUUACAACAUUAAAUUAUUAUACGUGGUAACGAUUUUGUCUUGGCCUCUUUUUUGACCGAGCAGCAUUAUAGUAAGUUAAACCAGAUAAUCCAUGCUGCCUGCAAUAAGCUAAUUGCCAAAACUCCAAAUCCCACGUUGAUGCCAAGUCUGAACAAGCUAGUUAUCUUGAAUCUAAGAGGUAGCAAAAGCCUAAAAAGUCUUCCAGCUAGAAUACUAAAUUUGGAAUUUCUUAUCAAACUUGAUCUUUCGGGCUGUGCGGAAGCUAAACUAGCAGAGAGUGUGCGCUUGUGCCAUGCCCAAUCUGAGCGGACUUCAUCCACUUCCGCACGGACAGUGCGUAGUUCAUCCUAAACAAAGCUACGAAGUUUUAGCAACUCAUCAUGGAUUGAACGAAACUCACCUCGGAGAGUGUUCGCUUGCUCGUGGAUGAGGGCUUUUGUUGCCACCGUGAACUCGGCGUAUUCUCCCUUGAGACCGGCCACUCUUUCCUCUAAACUAUCGAGGCUAUCUUGAGUGGCGGACAAUGCGACUUCGAGAGUGGCUAUGUGAGGCUCCAACGCAUCCACGGAUGGGGCCUUGGACUUACCGCGAGUCUUGCCUUGGGUGCGCUCUCCCUCACGGCCGCGGCUUGGUUCCGGCGGAACAUCCACACCAACAACACCCUCUUGUGCUACAUUCGAAGGGUUGGCCAUUGCUCGUGAGCUAACUUGCGUGCGUGCAAACCUUAGCUCUGAUACCAUUUUUCAUGGGAUGAGUGUUUUGCACAGCAAACCCGUGCGGCACUUAGACAACCUUUGCCGAAUGUUGCUAAGUAAGCCUUGCACUUCUCAACUAGCUAAGCCUAGAGGUUUUGGAAGAGCUAGAGAGAAGAGAGCAAUGGAGCUGAAUAAGGAAACUUGUAUUGCUAACAAAAGAGAUUACAAGAGAGCUUACAAGUGUUUGAGUUGCUUAUGUUAAGCUUGUUGUUGUGCAAAUGCUAAAUGCCAUCCCAUAUUUAUAGGGGAGGCUUGCCAAGCUCUAGAGAUUCUAGAGAAAUCUAUCAACUAUCUAGAAUUUACAUGUGCUAGAAAUGUAUAGAGAAUUCUAGAGUAUUUACAAACUCAAAUGUGCUAGAGUUGCCUAGAACUUUCUGGAAUUAGGCCAAGCUAGCACUCUUGGCCUUGUCUUGGGCUCUUGGUGGGCAAAUUGGGCUAGCAAUUGGGCGGUUCGCAACAAUAUGCAUGGUGGUGGUGGGGAAGCCUUUUCCCAUUUCCCAUUUCCUUUAAAAUUUGACCGUUAUUUUUCACCUAAUUCUCUAAGAAAUUUUAGUAGAGUGAGGAUGAAAAAUCCUCACGUGAAGAUCAAUUUUUCUAUCUACAUCCUGUUACACAUUUAUCUAUUUUAUAAUAGAUUCUCACAUAUAAUUUUAGUGAAACAAAAAUUAAAAUGACUCAAAUAAAAUCAUCACUAACAUAUCAUAAAAAUAUUUAAAUUAUUAACAAUAAUAAAUAAAAAAUAUACAUACCCACAAAUAAUUUUGGAAUCAUUUUUGGGUAAAAGCCCAUUUAGUCCCUAUAUUUUAAGAUUACUGUCCGUUUAGUCCCUGUAUUUUUAAAAAUGCCUGAAAACACCCUCGGCAUCACCUCCGUUACUGUUAAUUCUAGAUUCAUGAGGGUAAAAAUGUAUUUUUCUUGGUAAAAUUUAAAAUUUUAAAAAAUUAUUACGAUAACCUAGAUCCAUAAUGGUAAAAAUGUAUUUUAACCCUAAUAUUCUUUAAAACCCUCACUUUAAGAACUUAAGUGACUUGCUUUUUUAAAACUCAUAACAAUUUUCUUACUAUAAAAUUUUUUCUAUUGGAAACGUAGUCUUGCAGUAAAUGUCAAAACCGACAACGAAGGAAAUUGGCCUAUUCUGGUACGUCUCACGUUGGUCUUGUUUAUUUAUUUAUUUUUUUAAUCUUCCAUUUGUUCAGUGAAAAGAAAUUAUUUUUCUUUUCACUUGAAUGGGUAUUCCAUUUGAAGUAGACUAAAAGUUGAACGGUUUUUGUUUUGCAGUAGACUAAAAGUUGAAUGGUUUUUAUUUUCUUUCUUUUUUUUAACCCUUUCAUGGUUGUUUCGUAGCUUAAUAUUGGUAGUGGAAUGGAUUUGUAAUUGAAAAGAAAUUAUUUUAACUUCACUUGAUUGAGUAUUUUUUUGUAAAAAAAAAUCAUAAUCAUAUAAAGUUCUAUAAUGUCGAUUUUGUAUUUUAUGAAUUCGUAUGUAAUAGUUUUAAGUUUCUGAUAUUUUUUGUUCAUCUUUAUGUUGGCAGAUUCAAAUGAGUCAAAUCAGCAUUUCAGUUCGAUUUUUAGGCAAAGAUGUAGAGGAUGCUUAUGAUCCUGAUUGCUUGAGUCUUGUAUCCCUCAUCAACGAUGUCUUGAAUAAUGUCUUUGGAAGGCACAAGCAUUAUGAUGAGAGCUUUAAGCUUACUGGCAUUGUCCCAUGGUCCAAUGAAGGGAUUGAAUUGAACAAUGAUAAAAACUUCCAGAAUUUGGUUAACUUAAUUCAAGCCAAGGGUCUUAAUUCUAUUAAUUUGGAGAUGGAUGCGUUAUCCUUGGCCAGCUUGUCACCCGUUUUAGCUCAAACUCGCCCUAAAGAUAAUCAUUUUGCCUCAAAUGCAGUUAAUGUUGAUAUUUUAGAUGGUGAAAGUGAUGAUGCAACCAGUGUUGAGUCUAUUGACUGGUCUGAUGAAGAUAUUGGUGAUACUGUUAAGUCUGAUAGUGAACCUAAAGUUGAUUUAGGGUUUGAUAUUAAUGAAUUUGAUGGAGAUGAUGGCAUGUCAGAUUGUGAGAGUGAUAAUGAAGAUGUAUCUAUUGCAAGUGAUGAAGAAGAUGAUGCUGUAAUAUUGAAGAUGACAAGGGAUUUAAGAAAAAAAAGGUUCAAGAAACCCGAUGGUGAUGAUGAUAUUGUUUUGGGAGUUGGGCAAACUUUUAGUUGUGCUCAAGAGUUUAAGAAUGUAUUGAAGGAUUAUGCUAUUCAAGAGUCAAGAGUUUUGAAAAGGAAAAAGAAUGACAAAUGUAGAGUUACAACCGUGUGUGCUGGGAAGGACAAAGAAGGAAAGGAAUGUCCAUGGAGAAUCCAUGCAUCUUUAUUGGUUGACAAAGUUACAUUCCAGAUUAAAACUUUAAAAGGUGGUGAACAUAAGUGCAAAGAGUUGUUUAAGAAUCCUGAAGUAACUAGUAGAUGGAUAACUCAGAAAUUGUAUGGUUUUAUUAGUUUUAAUCCUGAUAUCGGUUGUGAAUCCAUGUCAGAUGAAUUGAGGAAGAGGUUUUCUUGUUCAACUACAAAGAAAAGGUUGUAUAUGGCCAAAAAAAGGGUUCUAAAAAUUGCUGAUAGUGACUACACAAAAUCUUAUGCAAAGUUACAUGACUAUGCCAACGUUCUUCUUAUAAAGAAUAAAAGGGCAAUGGUGAAAAUUCAAUAUGAAAUGCAAGGUGUAGAGACGUACUUCAAGAGGAUAUUCAUAAGUUUUGACGCACUAAAAAAUGGAUUUAUACGUGGAUGUAGAAGGUUCAUUGGAGUUGAUGGCUGCCACCUUAAGACAUCAUUCGGUGGUAUCUUGCUGACAGCCGUUAUACUUGAUGCCAAUAAUGGCAUAUUCCCAUUGGCAGUUUGCAUUUGUGAGGUUGAGUGCAAGGACAGUUGGAAAUGGUUUCUUGAAUUGUUGAAGGAACAUCUUGGUAUAGUGAAUGAGAUGGCUCUUACUAUAAUGUCCGACAGACAAAAGGGUUUAAUUCAGGCAAUUGAUGAAGUUUUGCCUGGGUGUACCAUAAGACAUUGUGUAAAAGUAAGCCAAAAUAAAUGAAAGAUAACAGUAGGGUAUCAAUACUUUAACGGUAGGGAUGUUUUAAGGCAUUUUUAAAAAUAUAUGGACCAAAUGGAUACUAAGCUUAAACUAUAGGGACUAAAUGGGCUUUUACCCAUCAUUUUUUAUCGUUCUUCAAAAACUUAUCAAAAUUUGGUGCGUGGGACCUGUGAACCAUCUCUAGUCGGCCACAUUGGACUUCUUACUGUCGGUCUUCAAAGAACUUUUGAGAAAGGCAGUAGACAAUGAGUUGAAUGAAAUUACUACGAAACUUCCCUGAAGAUUCAAGGGAGUAGUGGAGGAUACAUAUCAAGCGCACAGACACAUUCAAUUCAGUUGAACUGUUUUUGUUAUGGCUUCUUCUUUUUCUUCUUCUUCUUCUUCUUCUUCUCAUUGAUCCACCAGUCUGAGGCUGAUUAGACCACGAAAGUAUGAUGUUUUUGUCAGUUUCAGUGGAGAGGACACCCAUGACAACUUUACUAGCCAUCUCUAUUCGGCUCUGUCUCGACAAAAUAUCCAAACUUUCAUUGAUGACCAGCUCAACAGGAGAUGAAAUUUCACAGUCUCUUGUAAAUGCAAUUGAAGCAUCAGCCAUUUCAGUUAUCAUUUUCUCUUAAUCAUAUGCUUCUUCCAGAUGGUGUGUCGAUGAACUUGUAAAGAUCCUCGUGUGCAAGAAAGAGCGUGCACAGAUUGUGAUUCUGGUUUUCUAUCGGGUUGAUCCAUCAGACAUGAGAAACCAAACUGGGAGUUUUGGGGAUUCAUUUUCGAAGCUUGAAGAAUUCAAAGAAGCUGCAGAGUUGGAGGAAUGCUUUGAAGGAAGCAGCCAGUUUGUCUGGCUUUCCUUCUCAGAACAUCAGGUGAAAAGUUACUUUUAAUUUCGUAUACUAAUAUUCAACACUAUAAAUAAUAUUCACGCAGCACUCUUAGUUAAAUUUUCCAGAUGCUAAACUACACUUUUAAAUUUUAUCAGGCAUCAAAUUCUAGACAUCUUGAACUUCCCCACUUUUGAACUCCUAUAAAAGAAUUUUUGCAGAAUUAAUAAUAAAAGCUCCAGAAGUUACAAUAUAUUUUAAAAUUAAUAGUGUUCUGUCGUUUUUUAAUCAAUUUCAAUCUCUCACUCAUAUACCAUAAGGGAAAAAAAAUCUCUUCCACCUAUAACAUAUUCGUGUAAUUAAAGAGUUAUUAAUUUAUAGGGAGAUUGUAAAUUCCCUUACUCAAAUCAAUAGAUAUCACUUAUUCUGACUAUUUUUACAAUAUUUAAUAACUCUCCUGGUACCAUUAUUUUACAAUAUUAUCCUUAUGAAAAAAAAUAAGUGGUAUAUAUUAAUUUCAAUUGAAAAACUAGCAAUCUCCCUUAUUUCAUAUUUGAUGCAAAUCCCUUCUAUUCGGAGUUACUGCUGCUAAUUUUAUGUGUUUGAUAGGCCUGAAUCGAAGCUUAUAAAUGAAGUUGUCAAUCACAUUUUAAAGAGACUGCUGGAUGAAGUGUUUCGGCCGAGUGAUAACAAAAACCAGCUGGCUAGAGUAGAAUCAAGAGUUGAGGAAAUUGAAUCUCUUCUAGGUGUUGAGUCGAAAGAUAUUUACGCUUUAGGGAUUUGGGGCAUUGUUGGUAUAGGCAAAACAAAAAUCGCUAGAGCUAUUUUCGACAAAAUCUCUAGUGAUUUUGAAGGUUCUUGCUUCCUUGAAAAUGUUAGGGAAGACGCACAAAGACCGGGAGGAUUAGCUUGCUUGGGACAAAAACUUCUUUCAAAUUUAUUGAAGGAUAAAAAUGUGAGCCUUGAUAUUGGUCUCAAUUUUAGAAGGCUCAGCCGCAUGAAGGUUCUGAUUUUUUUUUAUGAUGUAUCUUGCUUCAGCCAAUUAGAAUCCUCGGCCUUUGUUAUAAACAUCUAAUAACAUAUAUGCAUCAUUAAAAAAUAUAUUCAAAACUUGCAUAGUUCACAUCUCAUUGUACAUACAUACACUUCAGAUAUAUACAUAUAAACAUGGAUGUGCUCAAAAUGUAAGUCAUGCAGUAAUGCGUGUCAUAGCCCAACCUCAACUGAUCAGAAACUGAACUGCACGAAAUCCUACGGAAACCUUAGAGAAAUGGGAUAAAUAGGAAAAUAGUAAGCUUGCUGCUCAAUGAAUGGAUAUAAUUAUAUACAAAAAUAAAUUAGUGCUUUAGUGCUUGUAUAUAAUUGUAUGACAUAACUUCACACUGAAUGCAUUACAAAAGUAAACAUAAAGUCAUAUAUACAUACAUGACAAAACUGCAUUGAAUAAUAUCCAGGAGAAAUAACUCUCAAUACUCACUGGGAUCAUCAUCGCACGAGUGAAAGUGGGGGAAAAACCUCUCAAUACUCAGUGGAAUUAACUGCAUCACAAGGGCCGAGUAAUCUAACUCUCAAUAUGCAUGCGUAGAGCCUAUGGGGAAGGGUACACAUAUGGUGCUUGGCAAUCACAUCUGAUGAUUCAAUCAAUCAUAUAUUGUACGUACAUAUAAUCAUAACAUUAUACUAAAUCAUACUAUUGAACAUAAAUGCUUUGUAGGAUACAUAAUAGUAAUAAUAAUAAUCCAUCACAUAUCUUGUUUCACUUUAGGGUUCGUUGGGGAUCUUGUGGAUUCCUUAAUUCUUGGAUUUCUCCUAACAUAAAGGGUUAAAAAAUUAAAUGUUAGAACCAACUGAUAUAAAAGCUUUUAUGUAUGAUGUAAACUAAAUCAUAAUUGUUCAAAUUUCUUAAAUAUGUUACCCACUGACUCAUUGCAAAUAGAUCUAACUACCCAAUUCUCUUUCUGUAACAUUUCCUCUCAAUUCCUAUUUUCAAACUUAAUUUUCACUCUCGGUUUUUCUUUUCUUUAUUUUUUCUUCUGUUCUUUUCCUCUUCUCUUUUCCUUUUGUUUUCUUCCUUUCUCUCCUUUUCCUUUCUUUUUCUUCUCUCUUUGAAUUGCUCUUUUUCGGUUUGAUUCAUGAAAAUGGUGAGAGCUACUUCAAUUCUUUACUUUAUAUAUAUCCACUACCUCCAAUUAUGCUUGACAAGCACAUAGGUGAAGCAUGCAUGUGCUUUGCUUUAAGCUAACAACUUGUUAUUGCUUGUGAAAUAAAAUACAACAAUACUUGUAACUCUAUACAAUUAGUAAAAUACUUCCUAUCAUUUUCUCUCAUGGACGUAGGCCAAAAAGCUGAACCACAUAAAUCCUCGUGUCUCUUGUGUGAUAUUACUCUCAANNNNNNNNNNNNNNNNNNNNNNNNNNNNNNNNNNNNNNNNNNNNNNNNNNNNNNNNNNNNNNNNNNNNNNNNNNNNNNNNNNNNNNNNNNNNNNNNNNNNNNNNNNNNNNNNNNNNNNNNNNNNNNNNNNNNNNNNNNNNNNNNNNNNNNNNNNNNNNNNNNNNNNNNNNNNNNNNNNNNNNNNNNNNNNNNNNNNNNNNNNNNNNNNNNNNNNNNNNNNNNNNNNNNNNNNNNNNNNNNNNNNNNNNNNNNNNNNNNNNNNNNNNNNNNNNNNNNNNNNNNNNNNNNNNNNNNNNNNNNNNNNNNNNNNNNNNNNNNNNNNNNNNNNNNNNNNNNNNNNNNNNNNNNNNNNNNNNNNNNNNNNNNNNNNNNNNNNNNNNNNNNNNNNNNNNNNNNNNNNNNNNNNNNNNNNNNNNNNNNNNNNNNNNNNNNNNNNNNNNNNNNNNNNNNNNNNNNNNNNNNNNNNNNNNNNNNNNNNNNNNNNNNNNNNNNNNNNNNNNNNNNNNNNNNNNNNNNNNNNNNNNNNNNNNNNNNNNNNNNNNNNNNNNNNNNNNNNNNNNNNNNNNNNNNNNNNNNNNNNNNNNNNNNNNNNNNNNNNNNNNNNNNNNNNNNNNNNNNNNNNNNNNNNNNNNNNNNNNNNNNNNNNNNNNNNNNNNNNNNNNNNNNNNNNNNNNNNNNNNNNNNNNNNNNNNNNNNNNNNNNNNNNNNNNNNNNNNNNNNNNNNNNNNNNNNNNNNNNNNNNNNNNNNNNNNNNNNNNNNNNNNNNNNNNNNNNNNNNNNNNNNNNNNNNNNNNNNNNNNNNNNNNNNNNNNNNNNNNNNNNNNNNNNNNNNNNNNNNNNNNNNNNNNNNNNNNNNNNNNNNNNNNNNNNNNNNNNNNNNNNNNNNNNNNNNNNNNNNNNNNNNNNNNNNNNNNNNNNNNNNNNNNNNNNNNNNNNNNNNNNNNNNNNNNNNNNNNNNNNNNNNNNNNNNNNNNNNNNNNNNNNNNNNNNNNNNNNNNNNNNNNNNNNNNNNNNNNNNNNNNNNNNNNNNNNNNNNNNNNNNNNNNNNNNNNNNNNNNNNNNNNNNNNNNNNNACAUGAACUUAUCAUUAAUUCAUUUGCUAGCCCAUUUUUCAAAUCUAUUUUUAAUUUAAGAUUUACUAUACAAAUAUAAUCAACUUUGUUAUAAUAUGGUGUAAUGUCUAUAUUGCUACAUAGUGUGAUAGGCCAUUAAUGUAAUAUAUAUGGUAUUUAUUUUCACUUGACCAAUUUGCCCAAAUUUAUAUUUUAUAAGCAGUUUUAAUCCUAGAUUCAUCAGGUCGUGAUUUUUAAUUUGUGGGUCGAACCAAACUUGUUACAAACUGACUCAAAUCGAGUCGAUACGGUCAAGUUGGUUCGAUCUAACUGGUUUCGUUUUGAAAUGCCCACCCCAACGAACAACUUUUGAGUUUUCCAUUAUUGGCCUAUUGCAGUUUUUUCCAACAUUCCUUGUUUAAUUGAUAUAUACAUUUGUCACUUUAUUUAUCAAAAAAAAAAAUUAAUAUCCAAGGAACAUAGGAAUUAAAUAUGGGAAUAUAGGAAGCACAAAACAACUAAAAUCCCUAGAUAAAAAGUAAGUUGUCUAUAAGUAUCUUAAUGUUCUUUUCAUUCCUUUUGUCAAAAUUUUAUAAUCUAUUUUUUUAUUUUUGUCAAAGUAUCAUUGUUCUUUUAAAAAAUAUAUAUAUAUAUAUACAAAGUAUAAAUUUAUUUUUUAGUCUAUUAAUUUCUCUAAAAUUUAAAUAUAAAUGAUCAACUAAAUGUUAGUUUGUUGAAAACACUCCUACCGUCGAUGCUGACCGUUACUCGAAAUGUUAUCAAUAAUAUGUGAUUUAUGCAACUGAACAUAUAGCAUUAGUUAGGAAUGAACUUUGCAAUAAAAACAGAAAUUGAGCUAGAAAAGACAACCGAGUGAGAUCAACAAAUGUAGAUCCAAGACAAAUAGUUUUGUAUAUAUUAUUAAUUUGAUUUCCCGUUUGAAGAAGUUUUCAACCGUAACGGAAUGUGACACGUGGCGCGUGCAUCUGACCUCAUACUACCGGUGACCAAUAACCAAUAGCCAACACUCGAUCAUUUUUUAAAAAUUUACCCGCACAGAGAAAACGACGUCGUGAGCGACCCUCGCACGUACCAUUUGAAAAAAGAAAAAAAUGCAGUUGUAUGUAUCAUCAUCAUUAUUGCUCUCCUUAAUCAUGUACAAGAACGUGUCCGUGUCUAUCGUCUCACUUUGAUUCAUUUUCUCACCAGACACCCACUUUAUUGCUCCUCUUCAUCUUUUAAUUUAAAAACCAAAUAUUAUUUUUUCUUUUUCUUAUGAUUAAGAAAUGGCUGCGAAAAUUGGAUCAUUUAGACACAGUUUUGCAGAAAGGAGCAAAGAAAGAUUGCUAUCUAGGAAGGGCUAUUCAGACUUUGGCCUGAACAGCACGGAUGACGAUGGCAGCGAAGAUGGAAUCAAAUGCAGAUGUUUCCGUUGGAUAUCAGACGGAGUCACCAAUUUUUGGACCAAUUUGCAAAACAUUUUUAUUCAAUUCUAUGACAUGGGUCGUAAGGAUCCUCGUAAAGCCGUUUUUGCUGCCAAGAUGGGCUUGUCGUUGGCACUUGUGUCAUUGGUUGUCUUUUUCAAAGAGCCACUCAGUAAUGUUAGCCAAUAAUCGAUCUGGGCAAUUCCUACUGUUGUUGUAGUUUUUGAAUUCAGCGUAGGUACUAGUUUACAAUCAUGCGAUGCGACUAAAACAAGCAAAAUCGUAUUGAGAUUUGGAUAUGGAAGUGAUUUUGUAAUGUUAUUGAAUUUCAUGUAGGUGCAACGCUUAACAAAGGAUUCAAUCGCGCUUUAGGGACGUUUUCUGCUGGUGGCCUUUCUCUGGGCAUUGCAGAGCUCUCUCUGUAUGCAGGGGCUUACCAGGAAGUUAUUUGUCAUCAGUAUUUUUAUAGCAGGUUGGCAUCUUGUUAGCAAUUAAUAUCUAUCAAUCAUUGCCUUGGAGCCCAUUUCUUGAAUUGUUGCUCUUAUAUUUUUAUUUUGUCCUUUUCAAGAUUCUGUGCAAGUUGUGCUAAAUUGUACCCCAAAUUGAAACCAUACGAAUAUUUCGAGUCUUCUUGUUGACAUAUUGCAUUGUACUUGUGUCUGGAACUUCAACAACAUUUUUCCGCACAGCAUUUUAUCGGUUAGUGCUUAUUGCAGUUGGUGCUGGGAUAUGUUUGGUUGUAAAUGUGUGCAUAUAUCCCAUCUGGGCAGGGGAGGAUCUGCACAAGUUGGUGGUCAAAUUUUCAAAGGCCUCGCUACUUCCUUGGAAUGUUAGACAUUUGCUUCUUAGAUAUUCGGUUCUCUUUGAUUUGAGCUGAAUUCUGAUGAGUAGUUGAUUGAUUUAUCAUAUUGGACUUGGAUUUAGGAUGUGUUAGUAACUACUUGCAGUGUGUUGAAUAUGAGAGAGUCCCUUCGAAAAUUCUUACAUAUCAGGCUUCUGAUGACCCAGUGUAUAAUGGUUAUGGAUCGGCUGUACAGUCUACGAGCCAAGAGGAAUCUCUGGUAUAAUCAGUAUAACUUUGCUGGUUCUUUCCUCAACUCCAUCAUCUUUGAUUUCUUUUUCUUUCCUGCAAGGCCUGUCCUUUUGACAGACCAGAAAGUUUGGAUCGCUUGUACUCUUGUACUCUGCAGAUGGAUUUCGCAGUAUGGGAGCCACCUCACGGCCCUUACAGGUCAUUCAAUUAUCCCUGGAAAAAUUAUGUUAAAGUAAGUGGUGCAUUGAGGCACUGUGCAUUCAUGGUCAUGGCUAUGCACCGAUGUGUACUUUCUGAAAUACAGGUAAGUGGCUUUUUUCCUAUUGCUUUAGCUGCUGUUUUAGCAACUUAGGCUUAUGGUCAAAUCUGUACUUGGAGAAUGAAAGUGUCAUUCAAGGAUCCUUUUAUUAUCUCAAAUAUGUCUAGUGAACCAUAUUUCUCUUGGAGUAAUGGUAGCCCAUCUAGGUAAGUCGUUUCAGUCAUUAAUAGUGAGUUUCUGAGCUUCAAUGUACUAAUGAAGUUUAGCUCUAGUCCCAUCUUUCCAAUCUUUUGCUGGUCCUUCUUCUUGAUAAUUGGUACAAUCCAGCUCUUAAUCGGCAUAUAUCCCCACCAGAUUUUUCUCAAUCAGAAGCACUUGAAUUGCGAUCCUUGAACUCCUUUCACAAACUAAUAGUUUCAGCUUUGUGGGCACAGCUUUGAUGGUCUCAAAUGCCAAAACUCCCCUUUUCUUCUCCCCAUUCACUCUGCAAAUUGCCAUCAAAUUUGGUUAAUUGGCAUUUUAUUUAUUUAUUUGUUCCCGUAUUGCAAUUCAAAAGAAUAGUAUAUAUUCAUGCAUGCUGGUUUGGUAGCAUUAUUUUGUUCUUCUUAAUCUUAAUUAAAUUUUUUAUAUAUACGCUAUCACUUUCCAAAUAAAUGAGAAUUACAUGGUAUGUGAAGAAAUAAAUUGAAAAAAAAAAGAAAAUUUCAGAUGCAAGGCACUUAAUUAAAGAGUGCAGUUAAUGAAUCAAAUUUCCUUGAAACUUUAUACUUCAGGAAACAUUAGCAAUAAAGCUGAAGAAGUCUGGAUCAAGUCGAAGUUUGUAGAAUUUAUGAGUAUUAUAUUUAAUUUAGGUUUAUUAAAAUUUACUUUCUUUCAUAGUGGUUUAUUUAAUUUAAGUUUAUAAAAAAAAUGAGUGAGAGGUAGGAAGGGUAUGAAAAAGCACAGAGAACAAACAACAAAUUGUGAUUGCCUUGUCACGGACCUCUUUCUAUUAUAUGGCCCUCAUUCCAUGUCUAAUUUCUGUGAGAAACAAAGGUCUAGAUUCUAGAAAUAAGAGAUGAAAAGAGAAGAUAAAACAUCCUUAUAAUCUACUGAAUGUAUAAAUCUGCAUCUGCAUAUUAUAUAGCAAACAAAAUUAAAUAGUUUCCGUCUUACGAAGUUUUGAAAUUGAUUUACCUUUCUUUAGCUGUUGCCAAGUCAUUUCCAUGUGAUUUUGUUGUUCUUAACCAGUAAUUUUUCUCUCCACUCUUGUGUAUUAGCAGCAGAUGUCUUGUGGUGAUUCCUUUUUGUAAGCUCCAUUUCUUUGUUUCAUUCUUGAGUGAGUUAAUAAAAUAUGUAGCAAAAACAUUCAGGAUUCUAAAUUUUGUGUUAGGCUGCAAGUAUUUGGAGUCUGGAUUUAGAUAUAUGUUUGGUUUGCAAAUUUUAAUGUGCAGGCACCACCAGAGAAGAGACAAGUUUUUGCUAGUGAGCUCCAAAAUGUUGGCAAUGAAGGAGCUAAAGUAUUACGCAAGCGUGGAGACAAAGUUGAGAAGAUGGAAAGGUUAAGCCCUGAAGGCAUACUAUUUGAAGUUCAUGAGGCGGCAGAAGAGUUGCAAAUGAAGAUAGACCAAAAAUCAUAUCUUCUGGUCAAUUCAGAAAGCUGGGCAGCCAUAGCGCAGCGCAAGGAACUGCAAGAUUCUGAGAACUUUAAUGAAGUCAAAGAUGAUGAAAACAAAGUGAUUAACUUGAGCGAAGUGUGUGUAAGAAAAUUAACAGUGAGAUAACAAUUUAAUACAGUAGCUAAUUUAAACAACAACGAAAAACAGCAACUGGAAAUCACGAAUGAACAACUGGAAAAACAGCAGGGAAAAGAAAACCGAAAUAGAAAAUAAACCCGAGGCUUGCAGCACGGUUUCCUUAAAACAGAUUUACCACCUACUGUAGUGCUUUAGGCUUGCUGGUAAUUGUUUCCCAGGAUACAACAGGCACGAAUUAUCCGUCAAGUACAGAUUGAUAAUUCUGGCGAACCACAACAGUGUUCAAAGCUCGAUAAAAAACAUAACGUUAGGAGGAAAGAAAUUUUGAAGUGCUCUCUGUGUGCUGGUUGUUCUUGUGUGUGUAAAAACAAAAGAGGAAUGUGUCUUUUUAUACUCAUGUGGGUACGUAACAGCAGCAUAAAAAUUGAAUUUCAAAAUUCAAUAUAUGCUAUUUAAUUGCUGUAACAACCAUUGAAUUUAAACAAUUCAAUUCAAAAAUUGAAUUGCAUAACAGCCCAAAAAUAAUUGCAAAGUUGUUACAAAUCUUUUGAAUUCAAAAGGUGUGAAACUGUUAACAAAAAAAAUUAAAAGGAAAAUAAAAACGUACCAUGCAAGCUUGGGUGAUUUUGGGCUGACAUUCGCGUACGCACAUGAGUUCAACCAAAUCGGUCAUGAAUUAUUUUGGGUUGACAUUCACGUACGCACAUGAGUUCAACCAAAUCGGUCAUGGGAUUCACACCCCCUGUGAACACACGUGUGGAGAGAGCCUCUAUUAUUAAAAUUCUUGUUCAUGCAUGGUUAAGUGUUUAUAUAUAAACACUAAUCCCUUGGCUUCUUUUUCCCAUGUGGGAUAAGCUUCAUUUCCAUUCAAAUUUCCAACUUCAAAGGUGAACUUUGAGAGACAAUUUCUCAUUCACCCAAACACCAUUUUGAGAAAAUAAAAAUACACUUUUGAAGUAUUAACGGAGUAGAAUCCGAACCUCACAAGAUUUUCCACUUUCAGUAAGUGGGACCUACUCAAAAUGUGCCCUCAAAAUAGCAUAUUGAUAUACUAUUUUUUCAACAGUGUGGGAUGCUCAGAACCCAAACAUGGGCAUGAACUAUCCUAUGCAAGAACGGAUUUCCUCAGAAAAUAUGUCGAGAAAUCCAAUCUCGUGGCCACGGAUGUCGUUUCAUAAUAUUGAGUCCACGCUUGGCUUACAGGAAUCAAAAGUAUUGCUUCACUCUUGAUUGAAUUUGUUGCGAGGCUCCAAAAUCUUGUUGAUGCCUUUGAAGAACUAUGUGAAAAAGAAAAUGUCAAGGAACCUGUUGAGCCGCCAAUUGGGAAAGGGGAGGUAGGAUUUUGGAGCAGGCUUAGCAGAUGCUUUCAGUUGAAGCGCUGAGAUAGCUUUAAAGAUCAUUUUUUCCGAUCCAUAAGUUGAAUACAUGUCGUUGUCAACUGAGACAGUUUGAUAAGCUGAUGCUUUGUGACUUGUGAAUAUGAUGGCUUUAGCUUGCUCUGCCCCCCAUAUACAUAAAAAAUGUAGUAAUGCAGUGGAGAGGUUUUGUCAUAGAAAUUCUUAAUAGCAUAUGGGGUUUAGAAAUCAAUGCAUAUAAAAUCCAUUUUCAAAAAAAAAUUAUUGAGACAUUAGUCUACAGUUUUUUUUUAAAAAAAUUAUUUUUUUAUUUUUAUAAUUUUUAACCAAAUAUUUAUAUUUUAAGUGUAAAAAUAAUUUUUUCUUAGUAGUUACAGUAGCUGCAACAUAAAAUCCACAACACUUCAUUAUCAAAUAAGCCGUACGUUUGAAUCAUCUAAACAACUUACUAGGAUGCCAUGAUUCACAUAAAAUUAUCAGCACUUAACAACACAAAAGUCAAAAAGCAAAUACUCUUACUCAAGUCUUAUAUUUGUUGCACGAAGAAGAAAGAAGAUAACAAUUUUAAAUUAACCAACAGGUUGAAUCUUAUCCUAAUACACACUAUCAGCUUUGAAUUAGCAUACCUUAGAAGUCCUGAACUCAUUCACGGCCACUCGAAGAGAAUCAUCCGAUAGAAUCAACCGUGACAACGCUCCAGUGCUUAACCUGCCACAUUUUUUCCUUCCGAGUUGGGGAAUCCGAAGCAGGGAUUGAGCGGCCAGCGCCAUCAUCAAUUUCAAUUUCCCUCACUGUGAAUGUGAUAAUCCAAGCAAAGCUUCGUUCUAGUAACACAUUCUUAUAGCAGGCCCAGCCCAAUCCAGCCCAGUCGAGCAAGUGAGCAAUGUUAUUAUUUUAUUAUUUUUGAACUUGCGGUGGCUCUGUAUUAUUUGCAAAAUACUCAUGUAAGGCAGAGAAUAUAUUUUAUAUUGGAAUAUUUUCAAAAUAAAUGGUGCUUUAAACAGGUUUUCGAUUGUAAAGAUAUGUCAUAUGCCUAAUUAAACAGUGUCGGGUAUAAUAAAAAUAUAUCUUUUUAUUUAAAGAUGUAUCCAUUCACGGUUUUAUACUUCAAUUUAAAAUGGUAAUGAUUUAUUUUGGACCGGUGAUGAUCUAAUUCAAAUUUUGAUUUAAUAACCAUAAAUGAAAAACUACAUUUGUAAUGUGUCUCGAAGCACCAUCAAUUCCUACCUAUAUUUCAAUUAAAAUAAGAGUGAAACUAUUGGCACCCAUUUAUUAUUCUUAUAAAACUUAUUUCAAAUAAAAUUACAGUUAAGGGUAAAGAAGAAAUAAACACAUGUAGGAUUUUUUCUUCCCAACAAAUUACUUACAUUAAUAAUCAAUCUUUUUUUUUAAUUUCCUACCAUUAUUUCUUAUCUAACUAAGAUAAAUUGUAUAAAUCUAGCAUAAUCUAUUUUUCUUUUCCUAUUUCUUAUUGAUUAAAUAUUUUCGUACUCAAGAUUACUUUCAAACUACAAUCUAAAAUAUGUGUUAUUUAAGCUAAUGAUUAGCAUUCAAACUUUAUCACCUAGAAAACUUUUUAAUUUGUAUUUAGGAUAACAAUAAGAUUGCAAAAGAGAUGAAAAAUAGCACAAUACUACUUUGAGUUUUAAGAAUAAAAGAAUAUUAAAUGAAAAACUAAAAGAGUGUCUUUGAAAAUAAAAGGAAAUGUUUGGAAAUAAAAUAAAUAUAACUGAAAAAAGGAUUUGAUGAGGAGACUAGAGGGGUGCCAAUAGUCCAACUUUUAAAAUAAAGUUUUAUCAAUUAUUGCUCCCCUUUUCUGCAAUUAUUAUUCCCCACCCAUAUUUCUCCAACAUUUUAUUUCAUAUAUUUACUCCUACUACACUCUAACAAAGGACGCCUUUUGGACUACAUCAGUUUCUAGAUGCAUUUUAUUAAUAAAUUAAAUAAAGGCACCAUCCCUUGUUCAAUUUCUCUAAAUGACCACUUUCUGUCAGCUCUCUUAAAAUUUAUUAAGGAAUCUAUGUUGAAGACCAUUUCAUCAUUAGUAUUGUGUAAAUGUAUAAAAAUACAUUUUACACUUUGAAAUUUAAAAUGACCUUCUUUUAGCACAAAAUUUUUAAACAAAUGCCUCUAACUAAGCGACAAAUUUAAAAAUACAUGAUAAGUACCAUAUCAGCCAUAUAAAAAGUGAAUCAUACUAUGAUAUAAGUGCAUUUAUUUUGAAAAACCAUCUCGUAAAUAAUGGUUAUAUUGAAUCUAAGUAAGUGCAUAUCAUACAAGACACAACCUGGCCCAGCCUCUCUGACGGAUUCAAGGUGAAUCAUGUGAUCUUAUAUCUAAAGCUUGUGAAAUAAAUUUAAUUCAUGAAUGCAUAACACUAGUCUCGGCCUUUGUUAUAAACAUAUAAUAACAUAUGUGACUCAUUCAAAAAUAUAUUCAAAACUUUCACAGUUUACAUCUUACUGUACAUACAUACACUUUAUAUAUAUACAUAUAAACAUAAACAUGCUCAAAAUAUAAGUUAUGCAGUAAUGCGUGUCGUGGCCAACAUUAACUGAUUAGAAACUAAACUGCACAAAAUCCUAUGAAAAUCUUAAAGAAAUGGGGGUAAAUAGGAAAAUAGUAUACUUGUGGCUAAAUGAAUGGAUAUAUAUAUAUAUAUAUAUAUAUAUAUAUAUAUAUAUAUAUAUAUAUAUAUAUAUUAGCGCUCUAGUGCUCGUACAUAAUUGUAUGACAUAACUUCGCACUGAACGCAUUAUACAAGCAAACAUAAAAUCAUAUAUUUAUACAUGAUAAAACUGCACCAAAUAAUAUCUAGAAGAAAUAACUCUCAAUACUCGAUGGAAUCAUCAUUGCACAAGUAAAGUAGGGGAAACACCUCGCAAUACUCAGCGGAAUUAACUACAUCACAAGCGCCGAGUAAUCUAACUCUCAAUACACAUACAUAGAGCCUAUGGUGAAGGGUACACAUAUGGUAUCUGGCAAUCACAUCUCAUUAGUCAAUCAAUCAUAUAAUAUGAGUACAAAUAAUCAUGACAUGAUACUAAAUCAUACUAUCAAGCAUAAAUACUUUGUAGAAUACAUAUAAGUAAUAAUAGUAAUCCACUCACAAAACAUUUUUCACUCCGGGGCUUGUUGGAGCUCUUAUAGAUUCCUUAAUUCUUGGAUUUCUCCUAAAAUAUAGGGUUCAAAAAUUAACUGUUAGAACUGAUAUAAAAACUUUUACAUAUGACAUAAACUAAAUCAUAAUUGUUCAAAUUUCUUAAAUACGUUACCUACUGACUUACUGGAUAUAUAUAGAUAUAACUAUCCAACUCUCUUUCCUAUAAUUUUUCCUCUCAAUUCCUCUUUUCAAAAUUAUUUUUCACUCUCGGUUUUUCUUUUCUUCAUCCAGUUAAACAUGUUCUUUGACAUAUAAUACAGUUUAUGGUCAAAAAACUCAUACGUAAUUGAAAUUAAAUUAUUUUUUAAUCUCAAUUUUAAAAUAUUUUAAAAUAUUUUAAAAGAUUUUCAAACAUAAGAUACAAUGGUAUACAAUUGAAGCCUAAUCCAACAUUGAAAGAUUAAAUAAAAUUAAUUUUCAUCACUACUCAAGAGACUUGAAAGGACGUUAAGGUAGCGUUUAUUUUUUAUUUAAAAUCUGAAUAGGUUAGAAUUUGAUUAAAGCCGAAUGGCUUUGAAUAUAAAUGUUUCAAUAACAUGUUAAUUUUUUUAAUAUCUAAAAAUUAAAUGGCAUCUUGUUUGUUUUUAUAAUAAGAAAACACAUCAAAUGUGGUUAUUUAACAUUUAUGUCUUUAUAAGUCAAAACGAAUAAAAGGGAUUAGGCUUCGUAGUUUAUGAAAUAACUAUAUUGAAUUGAAAUAUUUUUAGGAUAUAGUAUUUAUUUUCUAUUCAAUCAUUUUUUUCAUUUCGGCAAAGGUCACAAAAAUUUACUUUUUUAAUUCAAAUGUAAAUAUCUAAAAAUCAGACAUAUGUUACAAAAAAAAAUAAAUAAUUAACUUUUUUAAAAAAAGUUAAACUUUAUAUGUUUAAAAUAAACGCUAAGGAACAUGAAUAAGAGCUAUUAAAACAAAAACAAAAAGAAUAAUUUGGAAACUAAAUACAAUUAAUUGAGAGAUGAGGACCGAUAAGAUAAAUUCUAGAUAAAAAUUAAAAUAUCAACCCUACUUAUUGCUGGUAGUUAUGAGCAUUAAAGCACAGAAGCCGUGUCUUGAUAAGUAUGGAGUUCGUGCGGAAUUUUCAGCUAGAAGUCUACAAAGCAGUGGAAUUAAUCAAUCAUCGUGGAGUGCACGGUGGUUGGACAAUGAGAUGAAAUUGAAAAAUUAUCACGGAACGUGAACGAAGGUUCAUGGCAUCCAUUUAUUGUACAGAGUCACGCACAUUUGGUUCAAUAAUUGUUUUCAUCCGAAUCAAAAUCUCUCUCUAAUCAAUUCAACCGUUCCUGUUGAUUAUGGCUUCUUCUUAUCGAAACAACAAGAAGUAUGAUGUUUUUGUUAGUUUCAGAGGAGAGGACACCCGAGACAACUUUACAUUGAGAUGNNNNNNNNNNNNNNNNNNNNNNNNNNNNNNNNNNNNNNNNNNNNNNNNNNNNNNNNNNNNNNNNNNNNNNNNNNNNNNNNNNNNNNNNNNNNNNNNNNNNNNNNNNNNNNNNNNNNNNNNNNNNNNNNNNNNNNNNNNNNNNNNNNNNNNNNNNNNNNNNNNNNNNNNNNNNNNNNNNNNNNNNNNNNNNNNNNNNNNNNNNNNNNNNNNNNNNNNNNNNNNNNNNNNNNNNNNNNNNNNNNNNNNNNNNNNNNNNNNNNNNNNNNNNNNNNNNNNNNNNNNNNNNNNNNNNNNNNNNNNNNNNNNNNNNNNNNNNNNNNNNNNAGCAUCAGCCAUUUCAGUUAUCGUCUUCUCAGAAGGGUAUGCAUCUUCCAGAUGGUGUCUCGAUGAACUUGUAAGGAUCCUUGAGUGCAAGAAAGAGUAUGCACAGAUUGUGAUUCCGGUUUUCUAUCAGGUUGAUCCAUCAGACGUGAGAAACCAAACUGGGAGUUUUGGGGAUUCAUUUUCGAAGCUUGAAGAAAGAUUAAAGGAGAAUACUGAGAAGCUGCGGAGUUGGAGGAAAGCUUUGAAGGAAGCAGCCAGUUUGUCUGGCUUUCAUUCUCUUAACAUCAGGUGAAAAGUUACUUUUAAUUUCGCAUACUAAUAUUCAACACUGUAAAUAAAAUUCACGCACCACUCUUAGUUAAAUUUCCAGAUGCUAAACUACAUUUUUAAAUUUGUUUAUGCAUCAAAUUCUAGACUUCUUGAACUUCCCCACUUUUGAACUCCUAUAAAAGAAAUUUUGCAGAAUUAAUUUUUUUUGUCUUAACCACGAGGUAUCCUGGGAAGGGCCCCAACUUGGGAGGCACAACAAAGGCGAGUUCUCUGCGACUUGAACUGGGGAGCAAACCCAGUCAAGCCACUUAAGGGGACUCCAUUGUCAGUAGAGCCAAUACUUUGUUGGUUAUUUUUACAGAAUUAAUAAUAAAAGCUCCAGAAGUUUACAAUAUAUUUUAACAAAAUUAAUGGUCUUCUGUCGUUUUUUAAUCAAUUUCAAUCUCUUACUCAUAUACCAUUAGGAAAAAAAAAAAAUCUCUUCCACAUGUAACAUAUUCCUGUAAUUAAAAAGUUAUUAAUUUAUAGGGAGAUUGUAAAUUCCCUUAUUCAAAUCAAUAUAUACCACUUAUUCUGACUAAUUUUACAAUAUUUAAUAACUUUCGCGGUACCAUCACUUUGCAAUAUUAUCCUUCUGAAAAAAAAAUAAGUGGUAUAUAUUAAUUUCAAUUGGAAAACUAGCAAUCUCCCUUAUUUCAUAUUUCAUGCAAAUCCCUCCUAUUUGAAGUUACUGCUGCUAAUUUUAUGUAUUUGGUAGGCCUGAAUCGGAACUUAUAAACGAAGUUGUUAAUCACAUUUCAAAGAGACUGCUGGAUCAAGUUUUUCGGCGGAAUGAUAACAAAAACCAGCUGGUUGGAGUAGAAUCAAGAGUUGAGGAAAUUGAAUCUCUACUAGGUGUUCAGUCGAAAGAUGUUUACGCUUUAGGGAUUUGGGGCAUUGGUGGUAUAGGCAAAACAACAAUCGCUAGAGCUACUUUCGACAAAAUCUCUAGCGAUUUUGAAGGUUCUUGCUUCCUUGAAAAUGUUAGAGAAGAGUCACAAAAACCGGGAGGAUUAGCUUGCUUGCGACAAAAACUUCUUUCAAAUUUAUUGAAAGAUAAAAAUGUGAGUCUUGCUAUUGGUCUUAAUUUUAGAAGGCUCAGCCGCAUGAAGGUUCUGAUUGUUUUUGAUGAUGUGACUUGCUUCAGCCAAUUAGAAUCUAUAAUUGGAAGUCUUGAUUGUUUGACGCCUGUGAGUCGAAUCAUAAUAACCACCAGAAAUAAACAAGUGCUUAGAAAUUGGGGGGUGAGGAAAAUAUAUGAGAUGGAGGCAUUAGAAUAUCAUCACGCUCUUGAGCUUUUCAGUCGACAUGCCUUCAAACAAAACCAUCCUGACGUUGGUUACGAGAAAUUUUCAAGCAAGGUAAUGAAAUAUGCUCAAGGUGUUCCUUUAGCUCUUAAAGUUUUGGGUUGCUUUCUAUAUGAAAGAGAAAAGGAAGUCUGGGAAAGUGCAAUAAAUAAAUUGCAAAGAAUCCUCCAUCCAAGUAUCCUAGAGGUAUUAAAAAUAAGUUACGAUAGUUUGGAUGAUAAGGAGAAAAAUAUUUUCCUUGAUGUUGCUUGUUUCUUUCAAGGCGAGGAUGUAAAUCUAGUAAUGAAAUUCCAUAAUGCAAGCGGUUUCUACCCAGAAAUAGGAAUAAGUGUUCUUGUUGAUAAAUCUCUCAUUGCUAUUGGUUCAUACAACCAGAUAAGAAUGCAUGAUUUACUACAAGAGUUGGGUAGGGAAAUUGUUCGACAAGAAUCAAUUAAUCCUGGAAACCGCAGUAGGUUGUGGCAUCAUGAGGAUAUCUAUGAAAUUCUUACAUAUAACACGGUAAGCAGUUUGUUGUGGAUAAUUAUUUUGAAAUAUUCUAGCAUUUACAAACUUGAUAUGAAUAUAUUUAUAUAUGCUCGAACUGAUGAGUCUUAGAAUUAAUAGAAGAGCAACAAUGAUUAGAAAAAACCAUAUCCGUUAGAUGACGUAGCAAUAAAUUAUAAAUGCCAUGACAACUUGCAUAAUCGUUUGCAAGCAUAAUUGAUAUGCCAAUUUGUAUAGUACACAGACGGAAUUUUUAUAUUAAGUAUUACUUGUGUUAUUAUGUUUCUUUGUGCAUUUGCAAUUAAAAGUUUAACUGCCUAGCAAUAACUAUAAGCUACCUCUAAUUGUGAAUUAGUGAGAAACUUGCCCCAAAAAUUUGACUUGGUGGGGUUGAAGUGCGAUUCAUUGGUGGAAUACACAUAUCUUUCAUUUGAUUUUAACUUUAUUGCUUUUUCACUUCCUUUUAGGGGACAGAAAAAAUUGAGGGCAUAUGUUUGGAUAUGUCAAAAGUAAAAGAGCUCCGUCUAAAUCCCAAUACUUUCACAAAGAUGACUAAAUUGAGAUUUUUAAAGUUCUAUAGUUCAUUAUUCAAUGGAGAGAACAAAUGUAAGAUGUCUUAUUUGCAAGACCCUGGAUUUGCUGAAGUGAAAUAUCUUCACUGGCAUGGAUAUCCGUUGAAGUCAUUUCCCUCAAACCUCAGUGCAGAGAAGCUUAUGUUACUUGAAGUGCCUGAUAGUGACAUUGAACGACUUUGGGAUUGUGUGAAGGUAUGCAUAUCUUAUUAUAUAUGUGCAAUCUCUCAAUAACAACAUUAAAUUAUUAUACGUGGUAACGAUUUUGUCUUGGCCUCUUUUUUGACCGAGCAGCAUUAUAGUAAGUUAAACCAGAUAAUCCAUGCUGCCUGCCAUAAGCUAAUUGCCAAAAUUCCAAAUCCCACGUUGAUGCCACGUCUGAACAAGCUGGUUAUCUUGAAUCUAAGAGGUAGCAAAAGCCUGAAAAGUCUUCCAUCUGGAAUAUUUAACUUGGAAUUUCUUACCAAACUUGAUCUUUCGGGCUGCCCAAAACUGAAAAGGCUUCCAGAGAUCUCAUCAGGUAAUAUAAGCUGGUUAUUUUUAAGGGGGACUGCAAUUGAAGAACUGCCCUCAUCAAUUGAGCGUCAACUUAGGCUUUCGUGGUUGGACCUUUCAAAUUGUAAAAGGCUUAAGAGUCUCCCAAGCAGCCUCUAUAAAUUGAAAUCUCUUGGAAUUCUUGAUCUCCAAGGUUGCUCAAAUCUUCAGAGAUUGCCCGAAUGUCUUGGCCAAUUAUCCUCGCCAACAACAUUUAAUCUAGCGAAAACCAAUAUUGAGAGAAUACCAGAAAGCAUUAUCCAACUUUUCGUGUCGGGAUACCUCCUCUUAAGUUAUGGUGAGAGGUUCGAAUUCGUGCAAAAGCCUCCAUUCCUUGAACGAGGUUGCUUGGCACUGCAACCACUUUUAGGUUUGUUCUCUAAGUUAUGAAUCUUAUAGGCAAUUUUUUUUUACCGGAGCAAUAAUUUUAAAUUGGCAGGUAAUUCUACUGCAGGAAUUCUUGAAGAUACCCUGAGAAUUCAGCAUACGAACUUUAUGCCAGCCGUACGUUGGGAAGAAAUAUGGCAAGAAGUAUGGGUAAAUGUGUGUCUUUAACUCUCUCUACUUACAAUUUCUACAAUCUUUUUUUUGGGUUUAAAAUUAUGUUUUUUUGGUACAGAGAGGUUUUUCCAUGGGCAAACUUCAUAUCGUACUGUCUGGGAAUGAAAUUCCAAAGUGGUUUGAGUUUCAAAGUGUGGGAUCUUUUAUAACCUUGGAGAUGCCGCCAGAUUUCUUCAAUAAUAGCAGAGUGCAGGGCAUUGCAUUUAGUGCUAUUUUAGCAUUUUCAGACCGUCAUGUAGAUUGUGGCACAUGGUUUUCAUUUUCUUGUGAGCUCAAAGUAAAAACCACCAAAGAUUGUGGUCCGCAUGACACACGAUUAUUUCAGAGCAGAGUUAAUUAUGUAGAAUCAUAUCACUUACAUUUGGGGUACUAUCUGUUCUGUGAAGAGGAUUUUAAUGGUUUUUGGAAAUGCAAUUGCAUUCCUGAGGCAGUCCAGCGGGGUGAAAAAAUGUGGGAUCCAUUUACUUCACACCCCAGAUUCUACGAAUUCAAUGUAAGAUCCAAGCAGAUGUUUCAACUGUAACGUAGAAGACUGAGAUAGGUGUCAUUUUCACUCAACUCACCUGAGUUGUGAAUCCAUUUGCUUAAACAUGUAUGCACUUUUUCAAGUAUCUCUACCAAUUCCAUAUUUGGAAUGGUGCAUUUGAUUCCAUAGUUGAUGUGGUAUCGUCUAUGGUUAGAAUUUAUAUUUACAAAAAUGACUUGUAAGGGAAGGAUUGAAGAUGCCCGUGAACUUAUAUUUCGAUUUAGAUUAUUGUAUCUUUUUCAUGUAUAAAAUUGGAUCCUAUCAUUCACAUAUCAUUGACAUGAGCAAUAUGGAUUACUAAAUCAUUAUUCUUUAUUAUUGUGCUGAAUUUGAUUUUUUAUUGAAUAAUUUGAUAUAUUUCUUGAAUCAAUUUGGAGCUUCUACAACAUGUCAGAGAUCAGUUUCUCCAACAUUCCUUUCGGCGCCAAAAGAUAACCAAGCGGUUGAAUAAGAAUUGAUAUAUACAACAUAAAUACAAGAGUUGUUUUGUCUUUUUACAAUAGGAAUAAUAUAUAAUGCUCGUUAAAACUUGCUGAUGAGAAAGUAAAUUCCUCAGAAAUUAAAUGUUUCAGCCAACCAAGGAAGCAGCUUUUCGUGGACCAACUCAGGCCUGUCGUCAUGGGGGCAAUGUCCUACUCCUUUCAAUACAAUUAACUUCACAUUUGAGAGUUUAGAAGGCAGAGAUGAGAUGUAUUUACCAACAGGUCCAUCGAGGGGUGUGAAUGGAUCCUCAUCAGCCCAUAAAACUAGUGCAGGUAUAGAGAUUGAUGGCAUCAAUUGAACUGGGUUCGGCCCUGGUGGGCCUGUUACAAUCGAAACAAAUGCGUCAAGUGCCCCUUCCUCAUUGGCGGGCUCUCGUAUGAUCUGCAGUUUUGAGGUCGAUUCAUGAAUUAUGAGACGCCAUUUUUGUAACAGGUUAAAAUGGCAUAUAAGUGGAGAAUAUUAAUACCUCAACCAGUGUUUCAUCCACAGAUUCCUUAUUUGCAUAAAUGGACAGUAAAAUAUUCCUCGUUGUUUCCCUGAAGCACCAAUGUAUACACAUCAUAGAUUUUUUUAAUUUUGACUCUAGUGUUUUAGGAUAAUGAACAAUGGACUGAAUAAAGAGAAGAGAAAAUACCUUUGUUUCACACGCUCAAAUAUAGCAGAAGCAAUUGGCCUUUGCUUCAACAAAAAAUCAAUGAACCAAAGCAAUGGGAACAAUAGCUUGAUUCUCCAAUCAUCAACAAUUGCCUUGUUGUUCAUGCCACCAGCACAAUUCAACAGAACAAGCCCUCGAACAAGGGUUUGACUGGAUUCUUAUGGUAGAAAAUAUAGCAGGUUUAUCGUAAACCAUAGAUACCAAAAAGGAUAAUUAGGGACAAGUGUUUCUUUGCAAGCAAGUUGAAGAAUAUCUGAUGUCCAAGGGGAAGUUAAAAUAAAUAUACCUGAGGCAGCGAUAACACAAGCUAGGCUUCCAACAGAAUUACCUAUAAGCACAGUUGGCUUCUGAACAACUUCAUCCAAGAAAUCCAAUAUUAGCUGUAUCAGUGAAUCUCACUCAAGUUAGCAAGGAAAAUAACUAAAGGUCAAGUGAUUGAUGACGUAAGUACAUAGAAAGAUCCAACUUCUGGGUAGGGAACAUUGCACACCUGAGCCCAUGCCUCCAUGGUAUAUGAAUAACCAGCUGGCUUAUCUGAAGCACCAAAUCCAAGGUGGUCAAUUGCAUAAACCGUGUAGCUCUUCGCCAGGGUGCCGAUAUUCCUGAAAUUACCUCAGAGAUAACAAGAAAAAUAUCAAUUCCUCACAUUAUUUAAUAGGAUAAAGGAGUAGUGAACACACAAAUUUUCAUUCCCCUCUUCUACGGAGCGGUAAAAUGAAUACUUUUUCACUAGAUUAAGAAUUGGAAAAUGGAAGAAGCCUAUACCCAUAAAAGGGUAAUAUUAAAUGGAACCCUGAAAUUCAGAUCACUGGUUUGUCAUCAUCUAGGUGCAAGGAAUAGAACUAAGUGUUAAUGCCAAUGCACCAUGAAAUAAUGAAUAGACUUUACUUUCAUUAUUCUUUUGCUUCAUUGAUCUUAAUUAAUUAUUAGAAGUAUAACACAUAUAAAUGCAUCCCUGGAGUUCAUAAUACAUAACAGAGUCAGAGAUAUUACAUACAUAAGGUAAAGACAUGCUCCAUACAAAAAAAAAAUAUUACAGUCGAAAAUACCCAGAACAUAAUUUGAAUUGAAUUCACAAUAAAGGAGCUACAUUUUUGUGCACCCAAUAAUCAACCCGCUAGACAAUUCACAACAAGAAAGAGCAAUCUUAUCUCGCUAACCUGCGCCAGUGAGGAAUGGAGACACCAAAGCCAUGGACAAGGAGUAGAGGAGGAGAAUCGGGAUGUGAAUUUGGAGUUGAAGAAACCAAGUAAUUGAUGGAGUACUGACCCUUCCAUUUCCACAUUUUGCAACUCUCCCUUAUCUCAUUAACCUCCAGUUCCAGUGCAGCAGAAGCAGAAUCCCCUCCACUGCUACUGUUAGUAUAACUGAUGGUAACAUUUUGUCUCUUCUUCUUCUCCUUAUUCCUCUGCUGCAACUCCAACUGCAACUGAAACUGCCAACUCUUAUUGCUCAAUAGGGGCAAGCGCAGGCCUUUUACAUCUCCAUUUCCAUUUCCAAUCCUGAGCGUUGUUAUUGGAAUAAUGAAAGAGGGAGCCCGAGCCCUUACCAUCCACACGCUCAUUCUUUUCUUGCUUUUUCGAUUGAAUAUUUUCUGUGGCCUGGCUUGGCCUGCUCCUCCCCUGCUUCCACCUCUAUGAGACUGUGGCUAUGACAAAAACUUUUUAUGUACUUAUUUAUUUAUUGGGCUUAUUCCACUAUUUUAUGAAAAUUUUACUGAUAUUCCUCAAAAAUCAAAAUGAUAAUACUUCGUCUAAAAAAUAAUUAUAAAACAUACAUGCUAUGUUUUAAAAUUUUCAAACAAAGAAGAACUUUGUAGAGUUAAUUAACUCGAUUUAUUUUAGUUUACUUUCAUGUGAUUUAGAUUAUUUUAUUAUAUUUAGCUACAAAGAUUGUUUUGUCAUAAGUUUAAAUUGAUUAUUUUACCCUUAUAAGGUAAAACUAUUGAGAAUUUACUUUAAUUUCAAUAUUUUUCUAAUUUUAUACCAAACUCAUUGUUUCUAAUACUAUUUUACUAGUAUGAGUUUUAAUCUUUAAUUAAACUAAAAUAGUAUCUUUAGGGCAUGAUACUCAUGUAACUUAUUGGGAUGUCAAUUUUAUGUUAUUUACACAUAAAAGUAGAGAAAAUAACAAUUAGAUUUUAUUUUAAAAUAUUAUAUUAUAAGCCACAAAAUUAGAUACAUAAAUUAUUAGAUACAAUAACUCAUGUUUAUUAUGGUAAUUUAGUCGCUAUAUAUCAUAAUAAUAAAAUACUAAAAUAAAUCUUGUAUUAAACUUUAUGAUUAAAGAUGGUCAAAUAACCGAAGAAGAAAAUCAAUAGAAGGAUUUUACUGAUUAACUAUACAAAAUUUUUAUUAAUUUGUAUUUUUAAAAAAAUAUUGUGAAUUCAUUACAAUUAAUUUCUAGAAGUAGGGUGGAUUUAUAAAAUAGUGGGGUGCAAAUACCCUUACCCAAAUAUUCCAUAAAAAGUGAAAACUAUUACCUUUUUCGAUGUACUUCUCUUGAAUUUUUUAUUCCUACGGAUAAACUUUAAUUCAUCCCCAAAUAAAAUGAUAAUCUCUAAUUUGCUCUCAAUGUAAAUCUCAAUUUAUUCUUCAUUUCCGUCCAAAAGAUGAGGGGCAAAUAAGGAAUGUGUUGAUGGGUUUUUUUUUUUUAAUCUUCUUAACAAUAAAUGGGGUAAAUUGAUAUUUUUAUACUUUUAGGUGAUAAAUUAAAGAUUUUCAUUCUGAAUUGGGGGCAAAUUAAAAUCUAUCUUAUUUCUAAAGGCACCACGUGAUUUGGCAAAAUAACUAAAAAGACAUUUUAUUUUUAGAAAAGGUCACACAUGUCUCUUUUGAGAUACACAAAUUCUCUUUUAGAUAAAACAUUAGGAUUUGUGUGAUUAUUUCUUAACCAAAAGGGUUUGUGUUUCAAAAAAAUGAUUAUGUAAUUAUUUUGCCUGACCGAGAGAGUCAUUAUUCAAACACCAAUCACAUUUUUGUUUUAACAAACACCCUUUCAUUUAUUCUUUAAGCUUUUUUUGUUUUUUCCCAAAAAAUGAUGAAUACAUAUUGAAAAUUUUGUUUUCAUUUUUUUAUUGAAAAAAUGAAAAACAACAAAGAUUACUGCUUCCUUGUCCAUACUUUUUCGUCCUAUAUUACCUUAAUUUUAUAUCGUUUUCUCUAUUUUUACUUUUAUAGUCCAAUUCUGAAAAUACACUAUUAGACACAUUUUUAAAUUCAAAAACACAAAACAUAGUGCAUCAUUUUCAUUAUAGGCAUUAACACCUGACGUACACAUUCUCCAAAUGGGAUUAAUGGAAAAAUAUAUAUAUAAAAAGGUGAGUCCUUCGGCCAAUCUUAUAGGUUCUAACGUUUUGAAGGUAAGUUUUAUCUUGUAACAUUCUCACAAAAUUUAAAAUCAACUGGGACGAAAAUUUUGAAAAUACUAUGAUUAGCACAGGCAUUUCAACAAUAGAGGAUGUAAUAAAAGCUCAUUGAGUUGAAACUUGAAAGCAAAAUUAGGAUCAAGGUCAUUUCUUUAAAAGAAUAAGGCAAGAUGCACGACAUGAAAUACCUGUGACCAAGCCUCAAAAGAUUCACCAAGCCCAGUAUUUUGCUUGCCCACGGCAUAAUUACACUUGGCUUCCCAAACAAAUAAUUGCUGGAGCUCGGACAAUGCAAGUAUUCAAUUUAACUUCAUAAAUAUCAGCAGGAGCAUAAUUACACUUGGCUCCCUAACAAAUAAUGCUGGAGCUCGGACAAUACGAGUAUUCAAUUUAACUGUACAUAGAUGUGCGGGGUUUUGGUGGUAAGUAAAAAGACGUGCCACUAUCAGUUGAGGAGUGCAUAAGAGGAUUACAUCUAUCAAAUACUAUCCGCCCCCCUCGGCCAAUUCUUCCACGAAAUUUGUGAGUUCGUGCUAUAGUGCCAUUCCUCGUAGAAGAAUCUGACGGCGGAACAAUACCUGCAGCGUCCAAUUUUUCUGGCACAAGGGGUUUUGUGAACAACAAAACUGGCUCGAGAGGAUCCUGAAACCCCACAGUUACAUUUUCAAAAUGAUGCACUGCUGAUAUUCAGAAAUAAAACAAGGAUAAAACAUUUUCUAAAGUUUACUUAAAUCAUUUUUCUUUCCAACCACAGAUAGGUCAAUAAGUCAAAUACUGGAGCUGACAGAGCGCUGGCAGAAUUAACUACAAACCCACCAGAUUUAUCUUGUUAAUUGAUUGUUUUCAAUUACCACGGUAACCCGGCUCGGGUGUUACCUCUGUUUCUGUCAGUGCUCUGUUGAAUAUUUCCGUUUAAAAAUCAGCAUCAUAUAUGUAAGUAGUAUGGCAGCAGCGAAAUAUCAUGUGUAAUAAUUAGGCUAUUAGGAGCAAAAGCUAUACGUACCAAUUUAUGUAGCCAUGCAUAAUAUAUUCAUUUUUGACUUGCAAAUUCUUCCUUUUCACAACAUUAGGUACAACUUUUCCUUUCCUUUUGAAGGCCCACUCCAGUAGGGGUGGGCAUUUGGUUCGGUUCAAUCUGAACCGAAUCGAACCGAACCGUAUUAUGAUAAUUUAAUUCGAUUUUGGUUCGCAGCAAAAAAAAUUAAAUGGUUCAGAAGCAUACAGAGUAGGGGUGGGCAUUUGGUUCGGUUCAGUCUGAACCGAACCGUAUUAUAAUAAUUUGGUUCGGUUUGGUUCGGAGCAAAAAACUAAAUGGUUCAGAAAUUCUGAACCAUUUGAUUUUUUAUUUGGUUCGGUUCAAAACCGAACCAAAUGGUUCAAGAAAAAAUUAAAAUUAAAAUUAAAAAAUAGUUCAGAAUUUAUCUUCUUUUUUUUAUUUCUGUUUGUUAGUUAAUACAUGAUAUUAUAUAUGUCAUUGCAUACACUUUAUUUUAUUGUUGAACUUUAUUAUUUUAAUUUAUUAUUGUUAAAUUUUAUUACAUUGGUUAUUAUUUAUGAAUUUCUAGAUUACUUUUGGAAUUUAUUAUGUUAAUUUACUAUUGUUAGAUUUUAUUAUGUUGUUUAUUGUUUGCUAAUUUAUAGACUCAAGAUUAUUGUUGUAUUAAUAGCGUAUUAUUAUAUUAUUAUUUUUAUUAAAUAAUGAAUAUAUAAGAUAAAAUCAAAUCAAACCGAACGGUUCUAUAAUUUGGCUCAUAAAUUCAUGAACCAUUUGAUUUCAGUUUGGUUCGGUUCAAGGGCUGAACCGAACCAAACUAAAUAGUUCCCACCCCUAAUAGAGAGUAAAAAGAGUUUCUUAUAAAUAAUUUGAGGAGGAUGGUUCUGCCACGACAGGUAAUACCAUAAACAAAUGAUUUCACCACAUUUCAAGAAAGCAUUUAACUUAUGCCUCAUUUUCAUUCUAGCAAUUUGCUUGCCAUUGGCUGAUUGGAAAAAGUGCAUUUAAGUGAUAGAAUACUGUCAACCUAUAGCACGAAUAGGGGUUAAACAAAGUAAAUCUCUACCUUUACAUGUCAAAUAAAAGACUUUCAUAAUAUCAAAUAUCAAAACUCAUGUCUAGUAAAGGAUUCCCCAAUGCUGGCUCUCAAAAUUGCUUUUGUUUCAUGGAUGAGAUGAUGGUUUUUGUGGAUAUUCUGCUCAACUUGGAUUAUGACUUGGGUCAGAUCCCAACUUGCUGCAAAGCUCACCUGACUAAAUCUUAGUUGAUUUGCUUUUCCAAACUAAAUCCAAGCAAGUAAGUACAAGAGAUAAAAGCAAAAGUUCAAGCAUCUCAUUUGAGCCUGUCACUAACAAAUGGUCAAUGAGCAAUGUCUAGCUAUGACUGAGCAACAGAAUCAAUAAACAGACAGACAAAAAAUAAUAAUCAAGUCAUCUGUCAAAUGCUAGUCCAAGAAAAUCAUAUAUAUAUGUAUGUAUGUAUGUAUGUAUGUAUGUAUGUAUGUAUGUAUAUGUAUAUGUAUAUGUAUAUGUAUAUGUAUGAUCAUUCAUUUCUCAAUCAACCACCAAAUUGAUGUCAACAAAGCCAUGAGGAUUGUCACACAAGUCUUUCAAUUCCCCUCUCUUUAGGCCAGAGACCAGUAAACCAUUUGAAAUAUAGAUGUGCAAACCAGUAAAUAAAUCAUGAAGUUACACACUAGUCUGCUUUCGCACUCAUUCAGAACUAUCAAUGAUACUUACUGCAAGUACGGUGUAUACAUUAUACUAAAGUGAAGGCUGGAUCAAUAAGAAAUUCAAAAUGUUUCAUCACAUUUGGGGCUUGAUGAUGCCAAAAAAAGACCAUACCAAUUAUGAUGAACAGUAAAAUGUGAACAAGAACAAGCAUACAUUUAAGAAAGCAGAGAAGCAUCAUUAAAAUAAAGUAUUCUUCUUACUAUUCUUGGAAAAUGGACCAAAAUAAAAAAGAAACCAUAUAUGGUUAACGUCACAACAAGAGUAUUUGUGCAUUUGUACAUCAUAGGAUAUUGGGAAGACAUCAGUAGAGAAGUGCAAAUUUUUUUUUGGGGAAAGGAACAGAGAAGUGCAAGUCAAAAAGGAGAAAAAAUGAAAAAAGAGAGAUCAAAAGGAAUGCAAUCUAAUUAAUUGUCUAAGGAGACUUCUAUGCUACAUUUAGCCAUUGGUUGAAUAGGCAGCUUGUUUUCUAGUACAACUUUAAAUUUUCCAAGAUUUAGAAUUUUCCUACUGAAGAAAACUAAUUUCUAAAGCAGCUAUUACCAUCUUCAUCCCAACGGUAAGCAGCUCCAUACUAAGGAAAGAAUGAAAUAAGUGUGUUUUACUUAUAGAAGCCCAUUCCUGUCCAGAGUGAUUAGUAAGUUGUUUCACCAUGACCCCCAUUAUGGUGACUGAAAAAAGAAAAAAAAAAAGAAGAAAAUAUUUGCCGAACACAAUAGUAGCACCUAAGAAGUCCUACUUAAGAGGCUUCAUACCCUGCACAAAUCGGAAAGUUUUUUAAAAUUUUCAUGUUUCAAAUGAAGAUUCUCCAUUAAAAAAUUACACACAUACUGUAUGUAAAGCAAUUAAAAAAAAAAAAAAAACAAGGAUAACCCAGAAACAAUCCAACCAUUAAUGAAAGUGAGCAAUGUUAUUGUUUUAUUAUUUUUGAACUCGUGGUGGCUCUGUAUUAUUUGCAAAUUAUUUACAAAAUACUCGUAUAAGGAGAGGGACAUAUUUUAUGCUGGAAUAUUGUCAAUAUAAAUGGUGCUCUAAAAAUGUGUCCGACUGUAAAGAUAUGUCUAAUUAAACAGUGUCAUAUAUAAUAAAAACGUAUCCUUUUAUUUAAAGAUGCUUUCAUUCAUGGUUUCAUGCUUCAAUUUGAAAUGACGAUAGUUUAUUUUGGACCAGUGAUGAUCUAAUUCAAAUUUUAAUUUAAUAACCAUGAAUGAAAUAACCACUUUCUGUUAGUUCUCUUAAAAUUUAUUAAGAAAUCUAUAUUGAAGGCCGUUUUAUCCUUUAGUGUUGUAGAAAAUACACUUUACAUUUUGAAAUUUAAAAUGACCUUCUUUUAAAUAAAAUUUUAAAACAAAUGCCUCUAACUAAGGAAGAAAUUUUAGAAUACAUCAGAAGUACCAUGUUAGCCAUACAACAAGUGAAUCAUGGUACGACACAUGUGCACUUAUUUUAAAAAACUAUUAUUCAAAUGGUGGUUAUAUUGAAUAUAAAUAUGUACAUAUCAUACAUGACACAAACCGCGUCAACCCUUCUAUUGGAUCUGGGGUGAAUCAUGCAAUUUUAUAUCUAAAGCUCAUGACAUAAACUUAAUUCAUGAAUAUAUAACACUAGCCUUGGCCUUUGCUAUAAACAUAUAAUAAUCUAUGUGCCUCAUUCAAAAAUUUAUUAAAAACUUACAUAGUUCAUAUCUCAUUGUACAUACAUUCACUUCGAAAAUAUACAUAUAAACAUAAACGUGGUCAAAAUGUAAGUCGUGCAGUAAUGCGUGUUGUGGUCCAACCUCAAUUGAUCAGAAAUUGAACUACACGAAAUCCUAUGGAAACCUUAGAGAAAUGGGGUAAAUAGGAAAAUAGUAAGUUUCUGACUCAAUGAAUGAAUAUAAUUAUAUAUAAAAAUAAAUUAGUGCUUUAGUGCUCGUCAUAAUUGUAUGACAUAACUUUACACUGAACGCUUUACAAAAGCAAACAUGAACUCAUAUAUACAUACAUGACAAAAUUGCACCAAAUAAUAUACAGGGGAAAUAACUCUCAAUACUCACUGUGAUCAUCAUCGCAUGAGUAAAAAGGGGGAAAAACCUCUCAAUACUCAGUAGAAUUAACAACAUCACAAGGGUCGAGUAAUUUAAUUCUCAAUAUGCAUGCGUAGAGCCUAUGGGAAAAGGUACACAUAUGGUGCCUGUCAAUUACAUCUCAUGACUCAGUCAAUCAUAUAAUGCACGUACAUAUAAUCAUAACAUUAUACAAAAUCGUACUAUUAAACAUAAAUGCUUUGUAAAAUACAUAAUAGUAAUAAUAAUAAUCCACUCACAGAUCCUAUUGAUGAAGCACGCACGUGCUUUGCUUUAAGCUAACAGCUUGCUAUUGCUUUGACAAUUAACCACAUGUGCCUCCUUUUAGCUUGCACGUGUGUCACAAUACAUGCAUUAGAAUUGGUUUUAUUCUCAUGGGUGAAGCAUGAAUGUGCUUUGCUUUAAGCUAACCGCUUGCUAUUGCUUUGACAAUUAGCCACAUGUGACCCGUUUAUAGUUUAGGAAAUAACAAUAUUGAAUCGAAAUAUUCACUACUAGAAAAAUGAGUUUUACUGACACUAAUUUAGCGUCAGUAAUUACUUUUAUUGACACUUGUUAAUUGUGUCAGUGUUGCUCAAGCCAGAACACACUGACACUAAUUUUUGGUGUCAGUAAUUUUUGUGUCAGUAAUUUGUUUCACUAUAGUAUCACUAAAAUAAUGACACGAUGAUGUUGGUAUUUAAUGAUACUAUUUACACGUCAGUGAUUUAUGUGACUAUAGUAUCAAUAAUAAGCUAGCUCGAUAAUAUAAAAAAUUAUUAAUGUCAAUUUAAAUAUUUAGUGUCAGUAUUUAAUAAUGUUAUGCAGGAUUGGUUAAUAAAUUUUUUUUAUUCUAAUUAUAUUUUUCCUGAAUGUUUUACAACCAAAAGAAAGCUCAAAAUAUAUUAAAUAUAUAAAAUGUCACAAUAUAAUUCACAUAAUAAACAUCCCAAAUACAUCACUCAAAUUCACAUGAUUCAACUACACCACUAUCUGGAAAAGAAAAAUAUAAAUACUAAAUUAAGUUUUCAACAACCACAAAGUACGAAUUUAGUUUCCACCAAAAAGAAGCACAAGAACAUCACUCAACAUCCAUCUGCAGCUUCAUUUUUUUCCCACCUACAACAACAUAAAAUCAAUUAGUAUGGAAAUAGAUUAUCGAAAACAAAUUGAUUGUGAGUAGUUAAACAGAGCAAUUGAAGGAUGUUUCAACAACUAAUAAAACAAUAAGAAAUAAGAUUACAAUAAUACUGAAAGUUAUAGAAAUAAAGAACCUUAGCUUAAGUUGUCUGAAGAAACCAUGUUGGAUAACCUGCUACAAGUCACAGAAAACAAAACAUCUAAGUCAAUCUAAUUAAAAACUUCCUAUUUUUUAUAAUCAAACAACAGAAAUCUGCAAUCAAAACAUCCAUUUGCCCACUCAAACUUUCAGCCUUAGCAUAAACUUCUUUCACUUUAAUCUCAUAAAACUUGUCAAAUUUAUGAAACUCUCAUCAAGCCUUCUAAAAAACUACCGCUCUCAUUCCCCUCCUUCCUCAACAAUCCUCAAAAGUAUUUUCAUUGCAAAAUAGCCCAAAAAAAUUAUAGGAGUUGUUUUGACUUUAGAAUAGCAACAAAACAGCCCCGGGAAAUCUGUAGGGGCUGUUGUGCAGUGAAAACAGUCACUAGAAAUUUACAGGGGCUGUCUUGUUGCUGUUCUAUAGUAGAAACAGCCCCUGCAAAUUAACACUUUCAAAUGAAUUAGAAAAGAAAAUAAUGUUACCUAUGAUAGUCAUCAUUGUUGAAGUCAUAGCAGAUAGCCUGCAAAUUAACAAUAAUAACAGCAUUUACAUCAGUUUAUGAAACUGCUUUUAUUGGUUUUUUUUUUGCAAGGAUAUGUAUAUAAAUAAUAGUGCAUUUAAACUUACAUAUAUAAUGCAUCUUAGACCAGCCAUUAAUGUGGUAUAGUUUUUGUAAAGUACCCUAUUUACCUCAGAAACUUCACUUUCCUCUAUGCCAAGAUUUUGAAUUAUCUAUUAUACACAAAGUAAAUUUGUAGAAACUAGUUAUACAUUUGUUAAACAAAUAAACAACUUAAAUGACAAAAGUUUACUAACUGAAUAGAAAUGCACCAAGGUCAUUAUAAAUUGGCACUACUUACUGAAAUGAUCAACAACAUUGACACUAACACCUCAUACAUAAAUUCAGAUUUUAAGCGUAUAAAGAGAGUUCAAAUGAAUGAUUGCUUAUACAUUUUAUAACAGAUUUUACAACAAUAAAGUAGAUAAAUGGCAACUCUACUAGAGGUAUGUUUCUAGUAUAAGGAAUCAAGCAUAAGUAAAGGAGCAAGGUAGUAUCUUAUCAUCCGCAUAAUCAACACACCAUGACAGAAAUCGAAUCAAAUAAAUACUACGAGUGCCGAAUGGAAGAAAGAAAUUAAAACAUUUUCUGUAAAAUAUUAUUAUUAAUCAAUAACAUGUCUUAAUAUAAAGCGAAAAGUUUCCGAUGAUAAUAUAAAUAUCCAAAACUAUAUAGUCAAAUACUCAAAAGCUGAAACCAAAAUAUCAGAAAAAAAUUUAUAAAAGCAAUAACAUAAACCUAAGCAGUAAACACAACAGACCCACCAGCUUUUUUAAUUUUCUUCUUGGCUGUUUUGGAAACGCUUCACCACAACGAGUUGGUUCUCAAGCAAAAGGCCCUUACCCAAAACCUUAAAGUAGCCAAACUGAGUCACAUCGAUCGUGGGAACAAUGUCUUUGGAAGCCUUGGCUUUGACCUCCUGAGGUACCAUUGGCCAAAGCCUUUUUUUUUUUUUUGAUCCAUGACAAUGAAAACUGAUCUUUUAUAUAUUCAAGCAAAUGAAGUGAAACCCCUGCUCAAAGAUACCAUAAAAACUAGAUGACAAUUUUGAACACUAGUGUCUAAAGCCCAGAGGCCUAUGUAUUUGAUAAAACAACUGACAGAACACUAAACACAUAAUGUUGAAAUUCAAAAGUUAAAAGGGUCAAACAGAGAAUUGAAACAUAAUAUGAUUCGCCCUUAAGAUAAAUUCUUGGCCCUCAAAUCACAUGCAGAAGCAAGCUACAUUGAAGAGAGAUUCGGAAGAAGCACUGAAAAUGCCAAAAGAUCGAAGUUGCCCUUCUUGAGAAAACCGACCUUAUGAUUACUAAGGCGAUUCAGGCAAGACAACUACUACACGAACCCUAAAAAUGGAGUUGCUUACCUUCUUCAGGGGAUGCGGGGCAAAUUAAAUUAUUACAGUAUUACUCACAACUCAAUUAAUUUGAGUAUUUGACUAAUCUAAUUUAGACAAAAAAUUAAUGAAAAAAUUAAAAAGUGGAAUCUCAACUCACUGUCUCAGGCGGCCGGCGCGAUGGCGACGGCUGAACGCGGCUGCAAAAGCAAUAAUUUAGACUGGAGGGUGAGAUGGUGACCAGAGACGGAGAAAGUGAGAGCGACUAAACGAGCGUGAAAGAGAGGGGUUGUUGCUGCUGUGUGUGCCUUCAGAGAGAGAGUGAAAGCGAGCGAGCUACUGCAGUGUGUGGUGCGACCUGCUGGGCUGCCGCCGCCGCCGCCGCCGCCGCGUGGGCUGCAUGUGCCGUUGUCAUCGUGUGUGCUACUAAGGCCUUAGAGAGGGGCUGCCGCUAGUUAGCGCUUAGGGAGAGUUAGGGAUUUAGGCACUUGGAAUUUUAGGGAUUUGGAUUUUAGUUUGUUUGAGAGGGAACAAAUUUUGGUGGAGGGAGAUCAAAAAUUUUGUGUUAAAUUAUAGCAAAGGGUUUGUAGUUAAUUAUAUACGGUUUAACCAAACAAAGAAAAUAUGCACACAAGUGGUUUGUAGUUUGAAAUUAAAAUUUUAACUUCGGAGAUAUUGAGUUCGAGUCCAAGUAAAAACAUAAUUAGAAUUAUAUUUGUUUUUAUCACUGAUACUAAAGUAUAAGUAAUUACUGAGUUUUAUGCUACUGACACCUUAGUACCAGUGAUUUAUGAUACAUAUUUGUUAAAUGGAAAAAAUGAUCCAAAUGUAUAACAUUACUGACACUUUUUACGAAGUGUCAGAAACGAAGUGUCAGUAAAAGUCAUUUUUGUAGUAGUGAUUCUUAGAAGAUAGUAUUUAUUUUCCAUUCAAACAUUUUCUCAUUUCGGCAAAGGUCACAAAAAAAAAUGCUUUUUUUAAUUUAAAUGUAAAUAUUUAAAAAUCAUAUAUAAGUUAUAAAAAAUAAAUAAUUAAUAUUUUUUUUAAAGUUAGACUUUAUAUGCUUAACAGUCAACCCUAAGGAACAUGAAUAAGAGCUACUAAAAAAAAAGAAUAAUUUUGAGCCUAAAUACAAUUAAUUGAGAGAUGAGGACGGAUAAGACAAAUUCAGAGAUAAAAAUUAAAAUAUCACCCUACUUAUUGCUGGCAGUUAUGAGCAUUAAAGCACAGAAGCACGUGUGUUGAAAAGUAUGGUGUUCGUGUGGAAUUUUCAGUUAACAGUCUACAAAGCAGUGGAAUUAAUCAAUCAUCGUGGAGUGCACGGUGGUUGGACAAUGAGAUGAAAUUGAAAAAUUAUCACGGAACGUGAAGGAAGGUUCAUGGCAUCGAUUUAUUGUACAGAGUCGCGCACAUUUGGUUCAAUAAUUGUUUUCAUCCGAAUCAAAAUCUCUUUCUAAUCAAUUCAACUGAUUUUGUUGAUUAUGGCUUCUUCUUAUCGAAACAACAAGAAGUAUGAUGUUUUUGUUAGUUUCAGAGGAGAGGACACCCGUGACAACUUUACCAGCCAUCUCUAUUCUGCUCUGUGUCGACAAAAUAUCCAAACUUUCAUUGAUGACCAACUUAACAGAGGAGAUGAAAUUUCGGAGUCACUUGUGAAUGCAAUUGAAGCAUCAGCCAUUUCAGUUAUCGUCUUCUCAGAAGGGUAUGCAUCUUCCAGAUGGUGUCUCGAUGAACUUGUCAAGAUCCUCGAGUGCAAGAAAGAGUAUGCACAGAUCGUGAUUCCGGUUUUCUAUCGGGUUGAUCCAUCAGACGUGAGAAACCAAACUGGGAGUUUUGGGGAUUCAUUUUCGAAGCUUCAAGAAAGAUUUAAGGAGAAUUCAAAGAAGCUGCUGACUUGGAGGAAUGCUUUGAAGGAGGCAGCCACUUUGUCUGGCUUUCAUUCUCGUAACAUCAGGUGAAAAGUUACUUUUAAUUUCGCAUACUAAUAUUCAACACUGUAAAUAAAAUUCACGCAGCACCCUUAGUUAAAUUUUCCAGAUGAUAAACUACACUUUUAAAUUUUUUCAUGCAUCAAAUUCUAGACUUCUUGAACUUCCCCACUUUUGAACUCCUAUAAAAGAAUUUUUGCAGAAUUAAUAAUAAAAGCUCCAGAGGUUUACAAUAUAUUUUAACAAAAUUAAUGGUGUUCUGUCGUUUUUUAAUCAAUUUCAAUCUCUUACUCAUAUACCACUAGGAAAAAAAAAAUCUCUUCCACAUAUAACAUAUUCCUGUAAUUAAAGAGUUAUUAAUUUAUAGGGAAAUUGGAAAUUUCCUUACUCAAAUCAAUAUAUACCACUUAUUUUGACUAUUUUUACAAUAUUUAAUAACUCUCCUGGUACCAUCACUUUACAAUAUUAUCCUUAUGAAAAAAAAUAAGUGGUAUAUAUUAAUUUCAAUAGGAAAACUAGCAAUCUCCUUUAUUUCACAUUUUAUGCAAAUCCCUUCUAUUUGAAGUUACUGCUGCUAAUUUUAUGUAUUUGGUAGGCCUGAAUCGGAACUUAUAAACGAAGUUGUUCAUCACAUUUUGAAGAGACUGCUGGAUCAAGUUUUUCGGCGGAAUGAUAACAAAAACCAGCUGGUUGGAGUAGAAUCAAGAGUUGAGGAAAUUGAGUCUCUACUAGGUGCUCAGUCGAAAGAUGUUUACGCUUUAGGGAUUUGGGGCAUUGGUGGUAUAGGCAAAACAACAAUCGCUAGAGCUAUUUUUUACAAAAUCUCUAGCGGUUUUGAAGGUUCUUGCUUCCUUGAAAAUGUUAGAGAAGAGUCACAAAAACCGGGAGGAUUAGCUUGCUUGCGACAAAAACUUCUUUCAAAUUUAUUGAAAGAUAAAAAUGUGAGUCUUGAUAUUGGUCUUAAUUUUAGAAGGCUCAGCCGCAUGAAGGUUCUGAUUGUUUUUGAUGAUGUGACUUGCUUCAGCCAAUUAGAAUCUAUAAUUGGAAGUCUUGAUUGUUUGACGCCUGUGAGUCGAAUCAUAAUAACCACCAGAAAUAAACAAGUGCUUAGAAAUUGGGGGGUGAGGAAAAUAUAUGAGAUGGAGGCAUUAGAAUAUCAUCACGCUCUUGAGCUUUUCAGUCGACAUGCCUUCAAACAAAACCAUCCUGACGUUGGUUACGAGAAAUUUUCAAGCAAGGUAAUGAAAUAUGCUCAAGGUGUUCCUUUAGCUAUUAAAGUUUUGGGUUGCUUUCUAUAUGAAAGAGAAAAGGAAGUCUGGGAAAGUGCAAUAAAUAAAUUGCAAAGAAUCCUCCAUCCAAGUAUCCUAGAGGUAUUAAAAAUAAGUUACGAUAGUUUGGAUGAUAAGGAGAAAAAUAUUUUCCUUGAUGUUGCUUGUUUCUUUCAAGGCGAGGAUGUAAAUCUAGUAAUGAAAUUCCAUAAUGCAAGCGGUUUCUACUCAGAAAUAGGAAUAAGUGUUCUUGUUGAUAAAUCUCUCAUUGCUAUUGAUUCAUACAACAAGAUAAGAAUGCAUGAUUUACUACAAGAGUUGGGUAGGGAAAUUGUUCGACAAGAAUCAAUUAAUCCUGGAAACCGCAGUAGGUUGUGGCAUCAUGAGGAUAUCUAUGAAGUUCUUACAUAUAACACGGUAAGCAGUUUGUUGUGCAUAAUUAUUUUGAAAUAUUCUAGCAUUUACAAACUUGAUAAGAAUAUAUUUAUAUCUGCUCGAACUGAUGAGUCUUAGAAUUAAUAGAAGAGCAACAAUGAUUGGAAAAAACCAUAGCGGUUAGAUGACGUAGCAAUAAAUUAUAAAUGCCAUGACAGCUUGCAUAAUCGUUUGCAAGCAUAAUUGAUAUGCCAAUUUGUAUAGUACACAGACGGAAUUUUUAUAUUAAGUAUUACUUGUGUUAUUAUGUUUCUUCGUGCAUUUGAAUUAAAGUUUAACUGCCUAGCAAUAACUAUAAGCUACCUCUAAUUGUGAAUUAGUGAGAAAAUUGCCCCAAAAAUUUGACUUGGUGGGGUUGAAGUGCAAUUCAUUGGUGGAAUACACAUAUCUUUCAUUUGAUUUUAACUUCAUUGCUUUUUUAUUUAUUUUUAGGGGACAGAAAAAAUUGAGGGCGUCUCUUUGGAUAUGUCAAAAGUAAAAGAGUUCCUUCUAAAUCCCAAUACUUUCACAAAGAUGCCUAAGUUGAGAUUUUUAAAGUUCUAUAGUUCAUCAUUCAAUGGAGAGAACAAAUGUAAGAUGUCCUAUUUGCAAGACCCUGGAUUUGCUGAAGUGAAAUAUCUUCACUGGCAUGGAUAUCCGUUGAAGUCAUUACCCUCAAACCUUAGUGCAGAGAAGCUUGUGUUACUUGAAGUGCCUGAUAAUGACAUUGAACAACUUUGGGAUUGUGUGAAGGUAUGCAUAUCUUAUCAUAUAUGUGCAAUCUUUCAAUAACAACCUUAAAUUAUUAUACGUGGUAACGAUUUUGUCUUGGCCUCUUUUUUGACCGAGCAGCAUU
rnacentral:lncRNA from 1 species